UGUUUAGUCACUGGGCAUUAGAUUCAUUUAUUCUCAGCCUUUCUUAAGGUUUCCCUGUUUAGUCACUGGGCAUUAGAUUCAUUUAUUCUCAGCCUUUCUUAAGGUUUCCCUGUUUAGUCACUGAGCAUUAGAUUCAUUUAUUCUCAGCCUCUGCUUUAAAAGUGGCUUUGACCAUCUUGUCCAUUUCACCAGAAGAACGUCAUCUCUUGGGUUUAAUUCAGUGGGACUGACUGAGCCCUCUGCACCCAGCUAGGCGCUGGAUGACAAGAGAGAGAAGAAGAAGUUACACCCUGCCGUUGAGGAGGCCUCUUAGUUACGUUUCUGCUGCGACAACGUUACACAUCACACACUCCCAGCGUGCAAGUGGCUUAUGAUCACGAACACUGAUUUCAUGUUCACAGGGCUGCGGGUUCGCCGUGGCUCAGUGGCUGGGCUGGACCGGACUCUGGCUUUGAGUCCUGUUCCAGUCUAUUCUGUGUGUCAUACUGUCGAAGUCUAGGCU
rnacentral:lncRNA from 1 species